AGCUUUUCACAGUGGCAGUAUCGUAGCCCAGAGGUUUAUCUGAGGCACGAUUAUUGCUAAUUGAAAACUUUUCCCAAUAUCCCGCCACGAUGACUUGAAAUAUAGGUGGCAUUAACAAUUUUUGGCAGUCUCUAUGGGA